CCUGAUGCAGCCAUGCCGCGUGUAUGAAGAAGGCCUUCGGGUUGUAAAGUACUUUCAGCAGUGAGGAAGGCGGGUGCGUUAAUAGCGCAUUCGUUUGACGUUAGCUGCAGAAGAAGCACCGGCUAACUCCGUGCCAGCAGCCGCGGUAAUACGGAGGGUGCGAGCGUUAAUCGGAAUUACUGGGCGUAAAGCGCAUGCAGGUGGUUUGUUAAGUCAGAUGUGAAAGCCCGGGGCUCAACCUCGGAAUUGCAUUUGAAACUGGCAGGCUAGAGUACUGUAGAGGGGGGUAGAAUUUCAGGUGUAGCGGUGAAAUGCGUAGAGAUCUGAAGGAAUACCGGUGGCGAAGGCGGCCCCCUGGACAGAUACUGACACUCAGAUGCGAAAGCGUGGGGAGCAAACAGGAUUAGAUACCCUGGUAGUCCACGCCGUCAACGAUGUCUACUUGGAGGUUGUGGCCUUGAGCCGUGGCUUUCGGAGCUAACGCGUU
rnacentral:rRNA from 1 species